AGAGUUUGAUCAUGGCUCAGAAUCAACGCUGGCGGCGUGCCUAACACAUGCAAGUCGCACGAGAAAGGGGAGCAAUCCCUGAGUAAAGUGGCGCACGGGUGAGUAACACGUGAAUAAUCUACCUCCGAGUGGGGAAUAACUGAGAGAAAUCUUAGCUAAUACCGCAUAACACUUACGAGUCAAAGCAGCAAUGCGCUUGGAGAGGAGUUCGCGGCCGAUUAGUUAGUUGGCGGGGUAAUGGCCCACCAAGACGAUGAUCGGUAUCCGGCCUGAGAGGGCGCACGGACACACUGGAACUGAAACACGGUCCAGACUCCUACGGGAGGCAGCAGUGGGGAAUUUUGCGCAAUGGGGGAAACCCUGACGCAGCAACGCCGCGUGGAGGAUGAAAUAUCUUGGUAUGUAAACUCCUUUCGAUGGGGAAGAUUAUGACGGUACCCAUAGAAGAAGCCCCGGCUAACUUCGUGCCAGCAGCCGCGGUAAUACGAGGGGGGCAAGCGUUGUUCGGAUUUAUUGGGCGUAAAGGGUGCGUAGGCGGUUUGGCAAGUCUGAUGUGAAAUCUAUGGGCUCAACCCAUAGUCUGCAUCAGAAACUGCCGGGCUUGAGUAUGGGAGAGGUGAGUGGAAUUUCCGGUGUAGCGGUGAAAUGCGUAGAUAUCGGAAGGAACACCUGUGGCGAAAGCGGCUCACUGGACCAUUACUGACGCUGAUGUACGAAAGCUAGGGGAGCAAACAGGAUUAGAUACCCUAGUAGUCC
rnacentral:rRNA from 1 species